UGGGGAAUUUUGGACAAUGGGCGCAAGCCUGAUCCAGCCAUGCCGCGUGUCUGAAGAAGGCCUUCGGGUUGUAAAGGACUUUUGUCAGGGAAGAAAAGGCUGUUGCUAAUAUCGACAGCUGAUGACGGUACCUGAAGAAUAAGCACCGGCUAACUACGUGCCAGCAGCCGCGGUAAUACGUAGGGUGCGAGCGUUAAUCGGAAUUACUGGGCGUAAAGCGGGCGCAGACGGUUACUUAAGCAGGAUGUGAAAUCCCCGGGCUCAACCUGGGAACUGCGUUCUGAACUGGGUGACUAGAGUGUGUCAGAGGGAGGUAGAAUUCCACGUGUAGCAGUGAAAUGCGUAGAGAUGUGGAGGAAUACCGAUGGCGAAGGCAGCCUCCUGGGAUAACACUGACGUUCAUGCCCGAAAGCGUGGGUAGCAAACAGGAUUAGAUACCCUGGUAGUCCACGCCCUAAACGAUGUCGAUUAGCUGUUGGGCAGCUUGACUGCUUANUAGCGAAGCUAACGCGUGAAAUCGACCGCCUGGGGAGUACGGUCGCAANAUUA
rnacentral:rRNA from 1 species